AGCUGGGGGAAAAGAGAAGCACAAUAUAGGUACCUGCCUUCCUUGCCAGCUGGGAGAAUAACAACUUUGGAGGUGAUUUCUGUUAGGAAAAAUGGCACCAGAGGAAAAAGUAGGAGCCCAGGUUGGCAGGAUCAGUGGAUGAAGGAAGCAAUGAGCUAAGAGAGGAAGACUGGAAGGAGUUCAGGGGCCAAGGCCGCUGCUUCCUGCUCCAGGAUUAAAACAGUAUUGAUAAUAUUUAAAAGUGGAUCCACAGCAGAUGAAGAGGCUGAGGCAUGCAAAAAUCAAGACAUGGAACCCAUAUACCACAGUGAGUCAGGAUGUUCGACCCACCGUGCUCAACGGAAUGAAAUCCAGAGGUUUUUUGAUUCCUGUGCUCUGGAUCAGAAUGUCUUUCGCUACUAGAAUUAGCUUGUGGAGGCAUCAUACGUUACAGUAGAUGUAUACAUAUAUACUCAACCCAUCCUAAGAAUCUAGGAAGGAAGCGGACAGAGUCCUUGUCCAUCUAGUCCAGCACUGCCUAUUCUGACUGUCAGCAGCUUUCCAGGGUCUCAGGCAGAUCACUAGCUACCUUGUCCUUUUUGAACUGGAGAUACUGGGGGAGUUGAACCUAGGCCCUUCUGCGUGCAAAGCACAUGCUCUACUGCUACCCUGCGGCCUUAAGCGUGCACUGAAGAACAAAAGACAUGAAGAGGAUUUUGGAGGCAUAUUGCUCCAAGGAGCAGGCCGAGGGCUCUCCAUCUCUGUAUCCCUUGAUGAAGGAGACAUUACAACUCACCGUAGCAAUUUGUCCUUACCUGACCGUUACAAUGUGGUGUUGCACGGGCCGUAAAUGCUGCUGGUCAUGGGGCCAUUGUUUCCAUCUCAGGUCACCAGCCUCGUGCUGGGGAGUUGACGAUGAAUCCCCACUGGAGUGAUGGGAGCACAGAGUCGCUCUUUCCCCAUGCCCUGGUAGAGGAGGCAAGGCAUAGCUGCUUCUGGCUUCAGGCUGGUUGCAGUGAUAAUAUAGGUGAGGCUGAAAGGAGUCCUGGGAGCCAGAUGGCAACUGGCCAUUGGAUCGAGUGGAGAUUGGAGCAUGCAUAUGGCUGGAAGAGGACUGAUGGUAUCUCACCGAGCUGGGAGAAGUAUCGAUUGGGCAGUGAUGGACUGGACAUCUCUUUUCCCAGGAACCUCCACUGGAGCUCGGCUCAGUCAUUCUGAUUUCUGGCACAUUAAGACAGCUUUGACAAAGCUCUGGCUUUACUUUUUCUCUGUAAGAAGAAAGUAUUUGCUUUGCUUUAUUUCAUUCCUAGCCUGCUUUUCUGCAUAAAAUGUGUGCCAAGAGGCAUUCAUUAUAUCAGCAAUCGGGGGGGGGGACAACUACCAAAAAAUGGAAGAUCAAUAACCAAUGAAACACUAAAACGGUAGCAGCAUAAAAUAAUGUUUAAAUAGCAGAAAGAUUAUCCCUCAGAUGACUGAAUAGAAAAGGUUUCACAGAGUAUAUUUAGUUAAGAAAGGGUAGGAAGACAAUAGGAAGUUUUUAUAAUUGGCAAUUAUGUACAGAUUUGAUUAAAAAUAGAC